GUGGGGAAUAUUGGACAAUGGGGGGAACCCUGAUCCAGCCAUGCCGCGUGUGUGAAGAAGGCCUUUUGGUUGUAAAGCACUUUAAGCGAAGAGGAGGCUACCGAGAUUAAUACUCUUGGAUAGUGGACGUUACUCGCAGAAUAAGCACCGGCUAACUCUGUGCCAGCAGCCGCGGUAAUACAGAGGGUGCAAGCGUUAAUCGGAUUUACUGGGCGUAAAGCGCGCGUAGGUGGCCAAUUAAGUCAAAUGUGAAAUCCCCGAGCUUAACUUGGGAAUUGCAUUCGAUACUGGUUGGCUAGAGUAUGGGAGAGGAUGGUAGAAUUCCAGGUGUAGCGGUGAAAUGCGUAGAGAUCUGGAGGAAUACCGAUGGCGAAGGCAGCCAUCUGGCCUAAUACUGACACUGAGGUGCGAAAGCAUGGGGAGCAAACAGGAUUAGAAACCCUGGUAGUCC
rnacentral:rRNA from 1 species